AUGAACGCUAGCGACAGGCCUAACACAUGCAAGUCGAGGGGCAGCACAAGGAGCAAUCUGAGGUGGCGACCGGCGCACGGGUGAGUAACACGUAUGCAACCUGCCUGUAAGCGGGGAAUAACCCGUUGAAAGACGGACUAAUACCGCAUAAUACUAAAUUACUGCAUGGUAAUUUAUUUAAACAUUUAUGGCUUACAGAUGGGCAUGCGCAUGAUUAGCUAGUUGGAGAGGUAACGGCUCCCCAAGGCAACGAUCAUUAGGGGUUCUGAGAGGAAGGUCCCCCACACUGGUACUGAGACACGGACCAGACUCCUACGGGAGCAGCAGUGAGGAAUAUUGGUCAAUGGACGAGAGUCUGAACCAGCCAAGUCGCGUGCAGGAAGAAUGUCCUUAAUGGAUUGUAAACUGCUUUUGCGAGGGGAAUAAAGUGCAUCACGUGUGAUGUUUUGUAUGUACUCUGCGAAUAAGGAUCGGCUAACUCCGUGCCAGCAGCUGC
rnacentral:rRNA from 1 species